rnacentral:miRNA from 1 species
ACGUGAUAAGCCUCUGAAGAA